GACUACUGGGGUAUCUAAGCCCGUUUGCUCCCCUGGCUUUCGUGUCUCAGUGUCAGCACAACUCCAGCAGCCUGCUUUCGCCGUUGGCGUUCCAAACGAUAUCUACGCAUUUCACCGCUCCACCGUUUGUUCCGGCUGCCCCUGGUUGGCUCAAGACACCCAGUAUACCAAGCAGUUCCACGGUUGAGCCGUGGGAUUUCACAAGGUACUUAGGCAUCCACCUACACACGCUUUAAGCCCAGUGAUUCCGCCUAACGCUUGGCACCUCUGUCUUACCGCGGCUGCUGGCACAGAGUUAGCCGUGCCUUCCUCUGGGGUUGAUCAGAACUUUCUAACCCCUGACAGUGGUUUACAUCCCGAAGGACUUCGUCCCACACGCGGCGUCGCUCCGUCACACUUUCGUGCAUUGCGGAAGAUUCCUUACUGCAGCCCCCCGUAGG
rnacentral:rRNA from 1 species